rnacentral:rRNA from 1 species
UGGGGAAUAUUGCACAAUGGGGGAAACCCUGAUGCAGCGACGCCGCGUGAAGGAAGAAGUAUUUCGGUAUGUAAACUUCUAUCAGCAGGGAAGAAAAUGACGGUACCUGACUAAGAAGCCCCGGCUAACUACGUGCCAGCAGCCGCGGUAAUACGUAGGGGGCAAGCGUUAUCCGGAUUUACUGGGUGUAAAGGGAGCGUAGACGGCGAUGCAAGCCAGAUGUGAAAGCCCGGGGCUCAACCCCGGGACUGCAUUUGGAACUGUGUGGCUGGAGUGUCGGAGAGGCAAGUGGAAUUCCUAGUGUAGCGGUGAAAUGCGUAGAUAUUAGGAGGAACACCAGUGGUGAAGGCGGCUCUCUGGUCUGCAACUGACGCUGAGGCUCGAAAGCAUGGGUAGCGAACAGG